AUCUCAUGCUCCCACGUGUACAUUCACCACCACAAGAGGAUAGAACAAUAAGAAGAAGAAGGAUCACGUCGUUGCGUCGCCGAUCCCCUCCCGACCAUUCGAUCGAUCCCUCUUCACGGGAUCACCCUUCUUCUUCUUCUUCUUCUUCUUCUUCUUCUUCUCCGAUCGAAGGGCAUAGAGGGCGAUUUGAUCUCCGAUUAGGGUUUCGAUCGCGGAGGAGAAGCGAGUCGGAGGGGGUGGAGGAGGAGUAGAGAAAUGGGGGAUCUGAGGGAGCCGCGGAGGGGGUGUUGCCCCCCGAUGGAGCUGAUGCGGUCGGAGGCGAUGCAGCUCGUGCAGAUCAUCAUCCCGAUCGAGUCCUCGCACCUCACCAUGUCCUACCUCGGCAACCUCGGGCUCCUCCAAUUCAAAGAUCUUAAUGCAGAUAAGAGUCCCUUUCAACGCACAUAUGCUAACCAGAUUAAACGAUGCGGAGAAAUGGCUCGCAAGUUGAGACUUUUCAAGGAACAAAUGACAAAAGCAGGCAUAGUACCUUCCGCAAUGCCUGUGACACAAACUCAAGUUGAUUUUGAUGACUUGGAGAUAAAACUCGGUGAUCUUGAAGCUGAGUUAAUUGAAGUUAAUGCAAAUAAUGAAAAGUUGCAACGUACUUAUAAUGAAUUACUGGAAUAUAUGCUAGUUCUACAGAAGGGUGGUGAAUUUUUCCAAUCAGCUCAAAGCAGAGCUACAGCCCAACAGAGGGAAAUUGAAGCGCAUCAACCUGGCGAUGCUUCUCUUGACAGUCCUUUGUUACUAGAGCAGGAAAUGUUAACAGAUCCGUCAAAGCAAGUAAAACUUGGGUUUAUCAGUGGUCUUGUUCCGAAAGACAAGUCAAUGGCUUUUGAAAGAAUCUUGUUUCGUGCUACCAGGGGCAAUGUGUUCAUUAGACAAGAGCCAAUUGAUAAUCCAGUCACUGACCCAGUGUCAGGAGAAAAGGUUGCAAAAAAUGUAUUCAUCAUCUUUUACUCUGGGGAGAGAGCAAAAGCCAAGAUUUUAAAGAUAUGCGAAGCUUUUGGAGCAAAUCGUUAUCCGUUCACUGAAGAUAUAGGCAAGCAAAUGCAGAUGAUUCUGGAGGUCUCAGGAAAAAUUGCAGAGCUGAAGACUACAAUUGAUGUUGGAUUGCUUCAUCGUGACACUAUACUCAAAAAUAUUGCUCAUCAGUUUGAACAAUGGAAUCAAUUGGUAAGGGAGGAGAAAUCAAUAUAUCACACUUUAAAUAUGCUAAGCCUUGAUGUGACAAAGAAAUGUUUAGUUGCUGAGGGUUGGAGCCCUGUUUUUGCAACAACUCAGAUUCAAGAAGCAUUGCAGAGGGCUACUCGUGAUAGCAAUUCCCAAGUGGGCUCAAUUUUCCAAGUUCUCCAUACUAGAGAAUCUCCUCCUACGUAUUUCAAAACGAACAAAUUCACUUCAGCUUUUCAGGAAAUUGUUGAUGCUUAUGGGAUCGCUAAGUACCAAGAAGCAAAUCCUGGAGUGUUCACUAUUGUUACAUUUCCUUUCCUCUUUGCGGUCAUGUUUGGAGAUUGGGGUCAUGGCCUUUGCUUAUUACUUGGAACAUUGUUCCUCAUAGUCCGAGAAAAGAAACUAUCUUCACAGAAGCUCGGAGAUAUCAUGGAAAUGAUGUUUGGUGGACGCUAUGUGAUUAUGAUGAUGGCACUAUUCUCAAUUUACACUGGAUUAAUCUAUAAUGAGUUCUUUUCUGUCCCAUUUGAACUCUUCGGUAAAUCGGCCUAUGCAUGCCGUGAUCCGUCAUGUAGUGAUGCUACUACUGUGGGCUUGAUUAAGGUGAGGCGUACCUACCCAUUCGGGGUGGAUCCUGAGUGGCAUGGCAGCCGAAGCGAGCUCCCUUUCCUCAACUCAUUGAAGAUGAAGAUGUCCAUCCUUAUUGGGGUUGCACAAAUGAAUCUCGGUAUUAUUUUAAGUUAUUUUAAUGCGACGUUCUUCAGGAACGGUCUCAACAUCUGGUACCAGUUUAUUCCUCAGUUGAUCUUCUUGAAUAGCCUCUUUGGUUAUUUGUCUCUCCUCAUCAUUGUAAAAUGGUGCACCGGCUCACAAUCUGAUUUGUAUCAUGUGAUGAUAUAUAUGUUCCUCAGUCCAACUGAUGAGCUUGGUGAGAACCAGCUAUUUCCUGGCCAGAAAACACUGCAGCUUGUUUUACUUGUACUCGCCCUUAUUUCUGUGCCAUGGAUGUUAUUCCCAAAGCCGUUGCUCUUGAAGAAGCAGCACCAAGAAAGACACCAAGGCCAAACAUACACUGCGCUUCAGAGCACGGAGGAAUCACUCGAGGUGGAUCACAGUCAUGAUUCCAACGGCCAUGAGGAGUUUGAGUUUAGCGAAGUUUUCGUGCACCAGAUGAUCCACACAAUUGAGUUUGUUCUUGGUGCUGUCUCUAAUACUGCUUCAUAUCUUCGUCUGUGGGCGCUCAGUCUUGCCCAUUCGGAGCUUUCUGCUGUGUUCUACGAGAAAGUCCUGCUCCUUGCGUGGGGGUACAAUAAUGUAAUCAUUCUCAUAGUCGGCAUAAUUGUGUUCGUCGCUGCCACUGUCGGCGUCUUACUUGUAAUGGAAACAUUGAGCGCCUUUCUACAUGCUCUGAGGCUUCAUUGGGUGGAGUUCCAGAACAAGUUCUACGAGGGCGACGGUUACAAGUUCGCACCGUUUUCCUUUGUAUUGGUUGGCGAGGAAGACGAGUGAACCAAAGUAAUCUCAGAUAUCAUUUGAGAAAAUAAGUGUGAGAUUUUGGACUAUAUUUAGCUCCCUUUGUAAUUUAUUCUUCUAUUGAAGGGAGUUCUACAAUUCUGCUUCACUGUAACAAAAGGCUAUGUGAGGGUGGAUUAGUAUCGUAUUAUCCGCAGGGUUAUCCGGUUCCACCCUGGUAUAAUAUUUAUUUUGACAUUCUGGGGCCUCGGAGAGCGCAAUGAGGCUAGAGCGGGGUAAUAAAAUAUUUCAUCGCAUCUGAUGACGUUAUUAUUUUCGUGACAGUCUAUGCAUUUUGAGUCAGGUACAACUUUGUUGAACAUAAAUAAUUACUUCUUGGGCCAGUCUAUGCAUUGUGGCUCAUGUGGAAUUCUUA